UACAUAGGGUGCAAGCGUUGUCCGGAAUUAUUGGGCGUAAAGAGCUCGUAGGUCGUUUGUCGCGUCGAUUGUGAAAAUCUGAGGCUCAACCUCAGACCUGCAGUCGAUACGGGCAAACUAGAGUGUGGUAGGGGAGACUGGAAUUCCUGGUGUAGCGGUGGAAUGCGCAGAUAUCAGGAGGAACACCAAUGGCGAAGGCAGGUCUCUGGGCCAUAACUGACACUGAGGAGCGAAAGUGCGGGGAGCGAACAGGAUUAGAUACCCUGGUAGUCCGCACCGUAAACGGUGGGCACUAGUUGUGGGAACCUUCCACGGUUUCCGCGACGCAGCAAACGCAUUAAGUGCCCCGCCUGGGGAGUACGAUCGCAAGAUUA
rnacentral:rRNA from 1 species